rnacentral:rRNA from 1 species
UGGCAGUGGCGGACGGGUGAGUAACACGUAGGAAUCUAUCCCGGGGUGGGGGACAACAGUGGGAAACUACUGCUAAUACCGCAUGAUACCUGAGGGUCAAAGGCGCAAGUCGCCUUGGGAGGAGCCUGCGUCUGAUUAGCUUGUUGGUGGGGUAAAGGCCUACCAAGGCGACGAUCAGUAGCUGGUCUGAGAGGAUGAUCAGCCACAUUGGGACUGAGACACGGCCCAAACUCCUACGGGAGGCAGCAGUGGGGAAUAUUGGACAAUGGGGGAAACCCUGAUCCAGCAAUGCCGCGUGUGUGAAGAAGGUCUUCGGAUUGUAAAGCACUUUUGGCAGGGACGAUGAUGACGGUACCUGCAGAAUAAGCCCCGGCUAACUUCGUGCCAGCAGCCGC